rnacentral:lncRNA from 1 species
GGGCCCCCACCAGCCCGCCGAACCUGCUUCUUUUGCUGUCUUGAAUCCCGCCCUCUUCUCCUCGCCCAACUUCUCCCAAACCCGCCUUCCCAGGUAAAGACGCUCGUCACUUGUCCGGCUCCUUGCCCAGGGCUCCCCGAUCUCGCUCUCCACUCCAGCCCCGGAUUGGUGCAGGGGGCUCUGCCGCACGGGGCAGGCGUGUGAGGCCGAUGGGGCCGCGCGUGCACCUGCAGCGCCCGCCGGCUUUCCCCCGCCGGCCGGGACCGCACGCACACACCCUCGCCACUCAGGGCCCCCGCAGGCCCCGCCGUCACCGCAUCCCCAACUCAGGACUCUCGCCCUUCUCCGGAGACGGCCCCACAGUCGGGCAGUCUGACAGUUACAGGGGGGCGAGGUUUUGCAAAAACUCCUAGCCCGGUCUUUCCAGUUCCCACUCCUCAGCCUUGGCUUAGUGAAAGGUGGGGGUUCGGGCAGGAGCG